CAGUCGCCGCGGUAAUACGUAGGGCGCAAGCGUUAUCCGGAAUUAUUGGGCGUAAAGAGCUCGUAGGCGGUUUGUCGCGUCUGCCGUGAAAGUCCGGGGCUCAACCCCGGAUCUGCGGUGGGUACGGGCAGACUAGAGUGAUGUAGGGGAGACUGGAAUUCCUGGUGUAGCGGUGAAAUGCGCAGAUAUCAGGAGGAACACCGAUGGCGAAGGCAGGUCUCUGGGCAUUAACUGACGCUGAGGAGCGAAAGCAUGGGGAGCGAACAGGAUUAGAGACCCCAGUAGUCCCUGUCUCUUAUAC
rnacentral:rRNA from 1 species